rnacentral:lncRNA from 1 species
GGUUGGCUGGGUGUGUCUUCAUUUUUGGUUUCAUUGUAUCACCCAGACUGGAUUGGCACUUUGUGGAGUCCUGCUGCUUCAAGUGCUGGCAUUCUAAGUCUUGUUUGAAAAAAGAUUUGAUUGCUAGCUAGGUGUGGUGGCCCAUACCUUUUUUUGUUUUGUUUUGUUUGUUUGUUUUGAGACGGGGCCCAUGCCUUUAAUUCUGGAGGCAGAGGCAGGUAGAUGACUCUGAGUGACCAGCUUGGUCCACACGGCCUAUUCCAAGUCAACCAAGUCUACAUAGUGAAAUGCUGUUUUAAGAAGAAAAAAAAAAGAAAGAAAAUCAACAAUAAUAAAAUCCUUUUUCGUUGUGACAGUUUUCCUGUUUGGAAUGUAGCCCAUUCCUUAUUAAGUAAAAUACAGUUAAUAUGUAAAUAGCCUCAUCCAGAUUCUUAGCAUAGAAUUGUCUCUGUGUGUGUUUGUGUGUGUUGAUAUUUUUCUUUUUUUAAAGAUUUAUUUAUUUUUAUGAAUAUGAGUACACUGUCACUCUCUUCAGACAAACCUGACUGUAGAGGGUAUUUGAUCCCAUUAUAGAUAGUUAUGAGUCACAUGUGGUUGCUGGGAAUUGAACUCAGGACCUCUGGAAGAACAGUCAGUAUUCUUAACCACUGAGCCAUCUCUCCAGCCCCUUAAUAUUUCUUUAAUGACAUGAGCUAGCUCUGUGUGUUGUGAAUGGCUGGAUCACCUUGAUCUUGAUUGCAUUGAGUUUGUCAGCUUCCUGUCUGGGAAGAAAGGCUAGGAGAGAAUGUAUCCUGUGUGUGCUGAGCAUUCUUUACCCACAUCUUGAUGUAGACUCCCCCAGGCUCAGGUCACGUGCUGCCAUAUCUCUGUAGACAAAUCUUUUUCUGUCAUGGCUGUACAUGCACUCUUGGUACUUGGUCCUUGUCAGAUGAGCCACAUCUUCCUCACUCUUCUGUUGAGGUGUCCUUGUUCUGGACUAAGGCUGGUCUUAGAGUGCUCACGCCUUCUGUUCAACAGGGCACUCGCAGUCCACUCCCAUAGCUGGUCGUUCUGGUCAUGAUUCUUACUGCCUGCUUUUUUUGUACCAUUUUUGUUUAGUGAAACAAAGGUAGAAUGGUGCAGGGGAUUGAUUUUUUUUUUUUUUUUUAAGAGGCUAAAGGCGUUGACCUCACUGUUAGCAAGUCAUCUACUGUCUCAGCCUCAGUUUCCCUACUUUAAGGUACUAACUGGGUAUGGUGACACAUACCUUUACAUGCCAGCACUGGGAGGCAGACACAGGCUGGUCCAAAUAGUGACUUCCAGGACAGCUAAGUAUAAAGUAAUGACUGGAAUACUAUGAAAAACAAUAAAGCCCACUGCAGAUUUAAUUUUAUAACUAAUUUUGACGUUCCGCAUUCUGAGAUUUUCUAUGAAUAGGAUGAUAUUGGAUAUAAACAGAUGCAUACUUUUCUUUAAAGAUGUGUUACAUGCAUGCCAUGCAUCUUGAUCCUAUUCACCCUCCUGCUAUUCUGAGCCUACCCCCACCCCACCCCACCCGGGCCAACUUAAUGGCUCUUUACAAACAUUUCCCAUUGUAUGAAGUCGUCCAUUGGGAAUGGGCAGCCCACCGGUACUCAGCCUUCAGUACCCACUGUGUGCAGGCAAGGGCCAAGAAAGGUAUGGGUUUACUGAGGGCUGGUUAUGAUCUCCCCUGGGACCCUGUCUCAGAACUAAAACCAGGAGAGAACCAGGUAUUCUCUUGAUCGAGGCAAAUGCCAGUACACUGUAGAAACUACUAAAUUCGGAGGAAAACUUGUGGUGAUGUUGGAUGAGAAGGCCAGCUGGAGAGUCAGCUUUUCUACCAACCAUCUCACCUGAGCUUUCCGGAUGUCAGUGUAGUUGGUCUGCUGGAGAAACAGCCAUUCCUUUAGGGGGAAGAGCUGACUCCUGCAUGGGUGAGAUGGCCUUGAAUGUGCCUGGCUUCAGAAUGGUUAAGAACAGCUGUUAGGGGACAGAAAUGGAGAAAGUUAAACUGCAGAAAUGGUAAGUUAUACAUGAAAAUGUUUUGGUUCUUAUGACUCAAAGUAGUGUUUCAAUGGAGGUUUUGGAAGUAAUCCAGAAAUUGUUUUAUACUCUGUCUGCGGCAGAUAUCUAAAAUAUUUUAAGCUCAAAGAAAUAUCUUGGCAUUGCCUUUCCGGUCUAGGGCAGCAUAAAUCGUGAGAGAGAAUUUAGGACUAUUGGAGCGAAAGCACUGGAGACAAACAAUAUGGUUGUCCAUUGUGGCUACUGCUGCACAGGGUCCCUUCCUCAGAGCAGCUACAUGUGGCUGAUAUCUCUUAGUGUUGACUUAGGAAGUUUCCAGGUAGACUUGGAGAAAAUGAACAUUUGUAAGACUGUUGUAAUUGACAUGUGUGUGUAUAGGAACUGUAAACCUGGUGCUCGUGGUAAUUUUGGUAACCCCAACCACUUUUUUUCUUUUUAUUACUACUUUUCCCUGAUAUAGGAUCUCGUGUAGCCCAUGCUGGCUUUGAACACACUGUAUAGCUGAGGAUCUAGAUUUUUUUUUUUUAAUUCUCCUACUUCCACUUGAGUGCUAGGGUAACAGAAUGAGCCAUCAUGCUUGGUUUAUGCUGUGCUGGGGCUCAAACCUGGGCUUUGUUCAUGGUAGAUAAGCAGAUAAGCAGGUAAGCAGCUUACCAGUUCAUACAUUCCAAGCCUUUACCUUUUUGAGACAGGGUCCACUCUAUAGCCCAGGCAGUGGUCCUUCUGCUUCAGCCUCCUGAGUGUGGGAGUCACUGGCAUGAGUCACUGUGCCUAGUCCUGCAUACUCUUUUCCCUGUCUUUUCUUCCUGGCUUGCUUUCUCCCCACCCCUCCUUGUCUCUGUUAGAGUCAUCUCAGUGGCACUCAGGGUUGAGAAGUAACUCUCCUUUAUCAGUUUUACGUAUUCAAAGAUAGUUAGAAAUUCCUUCUUAAAUCCCAAAGUUGUAUAAACUGAACAUACAUACGUGUUUCCUGUGCUAAGAGGGUCUGUCAUUAGAAAAAUUAUAGAUACUAACAGUUUUGCUCAAAAGACGCCACAGAUAGGAUCUUAUUUAACAGGUUUGGUGGUACCGGCUUCCUUAGUGGUAUGCAGAACAGAAUGAGGUAUAUCUGCAUGUUUGUUUUUGAUGUUGUUUAUAUAAAGCAGAUAAUCUGUGUACUUUGUAUUUGUGAACAACUCGAGUGUGAGGGAGAUGGCUUUGUAAAAAGAGGGUUUCUUGGUUUCAGAAUUAUUGCUGGGGAUCGUGACUCUAUAUUGUACUGCAUUGUGUUUAUCUCCUGCUUUAUCUGUAUUUGAUAUAAAAUUCUUGAGAAAAC